GAUGAACGCUGGCGGCGUGCCUAAUACAUGCAAGUCGAGCGAACGGACGAGAAGCUUGCUUCUCUGAUGUUAGCGGCGGACGGGUGAGUAACACGUGGAUAACCUACCUAUAAGACUGGGAUAACUUCGGGAAACCGGAGCUAAUACCGGAUGAUAUUUUGAACCGCAUGGUUCAAAAGUGAAAGACGGUCUUGCUGUCACUUAUAGAUGGAUCCGCGCUGCAUUAGCUAGUUGGUAAGGUAACGGCUUACCAAGGCAACGAUGCAUAGCCGACCUGAGAGGGUGAUCGGCCACACUGGAACUGAGACACGGUCCAGACUCCUACGGGAGGCAGCAGUAGGGAAUCUUCCGCAAUGGGCGAAAGCCUGACGGAGCAACGCCGCGUGAGUGAUGAAGGUCUUCGGAUCGUAAAACUCUGUUAUUAGGGAAGAACAUAUGUGUAAGUAACUGUGCACAUCUUGACGGUACCUAAUCAGAAGGCCACGGCUAACCACGUG
rnacentral:rRNA from 1 species